GCACUGGGUAAAGUUUGUCC
rnacentral:miRNA from 3 species